rnacentral:lncRNA from 1 species
UUUAUUUAAUUGGUUGGAAUAAAAUAGAAGAGUAAAAAUAGUAGGGAGAAAAAGAAGAAUAUUAUCAGUAUUAGAGCCAAGAGGGGUAUGAUGGUAAAUAAGAUGAUAAAUGAGGGCAAUGAUGGAAGUUCCUAAUUGAGGGUCGAUUAGGUUAAUGAUAAAAAGGUUAGUAAGAGAGUUUGAGGGGUUUUACGUAAAAUAGAAUUUUAUGUUGAGAAGAGGCAAGGGUUAGGGCUAAAGGAAAAC